rnacentral:lncRNA from 1 species
CAUAUUGGGAGGUCUGUAGUAAUUUACCUAGAUUAAAUCUGCAUGUGUUUGUCUAGAUCAGAUCAAAAUAGGAGUAAUAGCAAGAUUCAUCAAGAGGCACCAUAAAAACAAUUCGUCUGGCAUAAUCAACACAACCCAUAAAAACUAUACCCGAUCAUAUUUCGCAAAACAGCGCAUUAGCAUCUAGAGUAAUGUAACAUGCCAAUAAAAAUUUUUUUUUAAGCAUGAAAACUAUUCGAGAACAAGAGUAAGACCAGGCAUGCUCCAGAAAUUAUCCAAAAAAGAUUCAUCAAUCAACAUAUGCCACUUGAAUCAGCUUAAAAGCAUGGAUCCAUUUCUUGAACCCUACCUGGAGCUCUGAUAUCACUCUAAUGGAUGUAUAGAUGAAGAUCAGAGAAUAUGCAGCAGAAUAUUAGAACCUUUGUUCAUGAUAUUUCCACAUAAAAAGCAUUCAUAUGGGUUUAAGAUAUUUAUACAUUCCCAUGACAGUGAUUUCAGAGUGUAUUUUAUCCUCUCAAGAGAGACUUUGAGGCCGUGAAUGCAUGCGAUCCUCUAAGAAUGACUACCACGGCUGCUUCAAUCCACAUACUCUACAUUUGAAGGCUUUGUUUAGCCUUGGAUCUCAGGCAACUACAUGCCAAGGGGAUGCUAUGCAAGAAAGACCUUAUUUUGUUACUUUAGAACAAGCCCUCUUCUCUUUUUCCACUCUCUUUUCUUAGAGAAGAAAGUCUCACUAGCCACCCUCUCUCUUUUCUUUCUCUCACAUGCCACAACCCUACAAUGCCUCCUUUAGGAAUAUAGAGGGAGAGACGCUAGGGUUCCUAGGGUGCAUUCGCCUAGGCCCCUUAAAGUUCUAG